GGUUCAGUUUGCGCCACGAAUACCCUCGUCGACUUUGACGAUCGAUUCUUUUUCUUCGGUGAAGCCGAGCAGGAAAACAGUCUCGCGAGAUCGAAGACCUGCCGCCGAUCCAAGCAUGGGAAUCGCAGGCUGGCAAACUUCCCGUGGGAUUGCAGCUCCCAAGACAUUUCUGCGACAUCCGAAUCCUUCUGCCAUAGCAAUCGUGGCCUUUAUCUACAUCCAGGUGCGUCUUUUCACUGCACAGUCUGAGUAUGCAGAGCGCUUGGAUGCUGUUAAACAAACAUAUAUAAAGAUGAAGAAUCUGCUCAACUGAAGACCCUACUUCAAGAUCUUAAAAGUAUGUUUUUCAUUAAUUUUUUUGUUUGUUAUCAUCUAAGAGGAGUUUCUAUUAAUUUAUGUGCAGUGAAUUUGAUAAUGCUACACUAUUUGUUUUGUGCUUAGAAUUUGCAUGAGCCAUAAACCAGAAGUUUGAACAAUAGUUAAUACGGCUGGUCAGAUAUCUUAGCAUAUACUGCACGUCCUCAAUUAUCUACUGUUUAAGUAUGAUCAACCCAAGACUCACGUCUUUGUCUAAACCUUCCUAGUGUGUAGUGACAAAGUGAGAGAGAGAGAGGGGUAGAGAGUCAGAUUGCAUUACCAUGGAUGCAAUAUGUGGUCAAACAAGUUAUUAAACUUAGUUUGAUUGUUAUUUUUGAAAAUGGAUCUUAUUGGCUGGUCUAAUAACACAAAAACAAUCAAACUGGUCAAAAGUUGGAAAUGAGAUUCUACCAUUUCCGAAAAUGAACCAUAUUUAAAAUUAGAAAAAGAAACACAAAGCUGAAAAAAAGAGAAGAAUAUUGCACCUAAAUUAAAAAAAAAAUCUAAACGUACAGAAGCUUCAGUAUAUCUGUACUACUACAAUUGCGUAUAUAUGUGUAACAAGACAGAAAGAGGCUAUGAAGAUUAGAGUACCAUGGAAGACAGAAGUUAUUUUUUAAUUCCUUCUUCAGCUCCAUUUAUCUUUCUUCCCCUUGUCAUUUAUCUACCUGUUUUGUUUUCUAUGUUGUAAUAAAAGGGCCUGAGAGACCCCUAUGAAAAGAAAUUGGUUUGAAUUAAAUCUGUUUGAUGGGAUGGUUUUCAUUUCUAUUCUAUUCCUACUUGCUUAUUCAUAUGGCACGUGGAAUUAGGGGAAAUCAAGGGGGCACGAUGACUUCUAAAACUUGCUUUGUUUCUUCUCUUUUAAUACCCACAAUGUCUCAGGAUAGUGGAAAGGGCUUGGGUUUGAUGCAUCGUUUUGUAAGGGUGAGACUGUGAAAGAACUUUUAAGGUGUUGUGUUUUGAUCAAAUAAGCUUUUGGGUUUUUUUUACCUCCACUCUCUUCUUUUCCCUUUGAAUAAUUCACAAAGUAGGGAGUAGGGGCCAGAAAAUGUAGAUUCUUCUUCUGUGUGGUGCAGUAGAGGAUAGCAGAAUGAAAGAACAUUAUUUUUUAGUUGAACAAGUGGUUUUCAAGAAGGGAAAUAAACAUAAGAGCCACUUGUAACAAGAAAAGAUGGGAAUGCUUUGGUUUUAAUGAUCUCCAUUUGAUGAUUUGAAAGAGCUGAAAGAUGCUUCAAAUUUGUGAAUCAGUAGGACUAGGACUAAGCAGUGGUUGAGUUCGACCAGUGACUUCGUCCUUGCGACUAGAUUACACGUUUGAUCCUCAUUUUCUCAUGGGGUCUUCUAAUCAUUGGAUGAUGGCUUCGCUCAUAACUUCCUUAGUUGCUUUGAUACAAAAAUGGUUAGGAACACCAACAAUUUGAAUUAUGAGCGAGAAAGCAUGAGGAGGUAACACAAGUGCCACUUGUAACAAGAAAGGAGGGUGGAUACUUUGGUUGUAAUCGUUGCCAUAUGAUGACUUUAAAGAAAUGCAUGAUACUGACCAUCAAGUUUGGUGGUCGUUUGUGUUUGAAUGUAUUGAUUUGACACUAACAGCCUUGAUUAAUUCGGUUUUUUUGGGUAAGUGACUAUUUGCAUGCUAGUACAUGAAUGUGGAAGUAAUUUUCUAAUCUAAUUAACCUUGGAUGCGGAAAAGAGUCUACAAAACUUGUAGAUUUUGUUAACAUCCACCCAAGACCAGGAAAAAAAAUUGAUGGGUAGAGAGCUCCUUUGAAGUAUGAACUAUAAUAAUAAACAAUAAUUUUUAAAAAUUAACCUUUCAACACCUCCCUCUUGCUAGACAAAGUCAAGAAGGCAUCUUGUAAAGUGACUCAGUAUCAAAUUUAAAGGAAAAGGGGACUCAUGAGGAUCACGGACAAACUGCUCGUCCAUUGUCAUUCCAUGAGGAAACAGCCAUUAUGGUCCUUCAAAUCAAACAAAUCAGUAUGUUGCAAAUAUCUGGAAGUUAAUGAAAAGUAAGAACAGAAUUAGCAAAUCAAGAAGGAACAUACUUGUCAAGUAGAGUAGAUGUUGCUUCAAAAUAGUCAAAAAAAUCUGGAGCAAUCUCCAUGUCAUCUGUUUAAUGAGCAAAAACCUUCUAAAAAUGAAGAAACAAAAAAUAAUGAGAACAAAAAUGUUUGAAACAAUAAAUAUUAAGUAGAUGAAACCUUCUAAUAUGAUGACUCAGUUGAACUUGUGGCUGACGAAUAAUUCAUCCAAAGCCUAUUUGUAGUGCCCUGAAAAUUUUCCAUGUUCCAGAAUUAGAGCAAAUAAUAUUGUAUGAUAAGACUAGAAAAAUAUGAAGCUUACUAGCAAUCUUGUAAUAUGCGGUUAUUUCUCCAGGUCUUAAUGUUGCGACUGGUUUUAAAUCUAGGUGCUGCAAUAUAGUCAACAAUCAAACCCAGCUUUACAAAUUUUGACACUGAUAAUGUAAUAAAAGGACAGCCUGGUACAUAAAGCUCCCGUUAUGCGGGAUCCCGGGAAAGGAUCCAUUGUAUGCAACCUUAUCUUGCUUUUUGUAAUAGGUUGGUCACAAAGCAA